rnacentral:rRNA from 1 species
AGCAGCCGCGGUAAUUCCAGCUCCAAUAGCGUAUAUUAAAGUUGUUGCAGUUAAAAAGCUCGUAGUUGAAUUUCGAGAUCGGCUUACUGGUCGUGCUUUUGUACGUACUGGUAUAAUCGGUUUCUCCUUUCCGACGAACUAUAAUGCCAUUAAUUUGGUGUUAUAGGGAAUCAGGACUGUUACUUUGAAAAAAUUAGAGUGUUUAAAGCAGGUUCACGCUUGAAUACAUUAGCAUGGAAUAACGGAAUAGGACGUUUGAUUCUAUUUUGUUGGUUUCUAGGAUCGACGUAAUGAUUAAUAAGGAUAGUUGGGGGCAUUAGUAUUCAAUUGUCAGAGGUGAAAUUCUUGGAUUUAUUGAAGACUAACUACUGCGAAAGCAUUUGCCAAGGAUGUUUUCAUUAAUCAAGAACGAAAGUUAGGGGAUCGAAGACGAUCAGAUACCGUCGUAGUCUUAACCAUAAACUAUGCCGACUAGGGAUCGGAUGAUGUUAAUUUUUAAUGUACUCAUUCGGCGCCUUAC